AACGAACGCUGGCGGCAUGCCUAACACAUGCAAGUCGAACGAGACCUUCGGGUCUUGUGGCGCACGGUUGCGUAACGCGUGGGAACCUGCCCUUAGGUUCGGAAUAACUCCCCGAAAGGGGUGCCAAUACCGGAUAAUGUCUUCGGACCAAAGAUUUAUCGCCUUUGGAUGGGCCCGCGUUGGAUUAGCUAGUUGGUAGGGUAAAAGCCUACCAAGGCGACGAUCCAUAGCUGGUCUGAGAGGAUGAUCAGCCACACUGGGACUGAGACACGGCCCAGACUCCUACGGGAGGUAGCAGUGGGGAAUAUUGGAAAAUGGGCGAAAGCCUGAUGCAGCAAUGCCGCGUGAGUGAUGAAGGCCUUAGGGUUGUAAAGCUCUUUUACCCGGGAUGAUAAUGACAGUACCGGGAGAAUAAGCUCCGGCUAACUCCGUG
rnacentral:rRNA from 1 species